ensembl:lncRNA
AUGGGAUAUUAUUAUAACACGACAAUACAGACAUGGGCAAACUUCGACCUUUCCGGUGGUUUGGACUUCGGAAACCGGCUGCUCGGAAUUGUGGGAGUUGUAGUCCAAAGCCCUCCCAAGCCACGCCCCCGCGUCCGUGACGUCACGCGACGUUUUCAUUCAAACGUUUCUUUUUCCCGCCUUCUUCCUUUCUCAGUCAUGGCGGAUUUUUCCCAAGAGCAGCAGGAUGCUGACCCUUCCGCAGCCGGAGGUCAUCCAGAUCUCAUUCUAUGGACGGAGCCAUUGGAUUGGCUGGAGGAGAUCCUUCCGGGUUCGCCAAUCAUAGCUAAUCUCCGCCGAAGUCUGUUCCGUCCUGCGAAUACUCGGACCCCUCUUGUGUUGACCCCGGGAGACAUCCGGAUGUCGGCUUGCACAGAAGGCGAACCUGAAUGGCGGCGCGAUGAAUCCUGCAUCGAGAACCCUGUUUCCGAAACCCAGUCUUCCACCUUGGAGGCGGUUUCCAGUCCUCCUUGGGCAUCGUCCGCAGCGCCCUCCCCAUACGUCUCGGAAUUUGGUGCAAACUCCUCCGUGGAAGCAAACGUUUCUGGUUUCCGACAAGAACGGUGUACCAGCACUCCUCUCUCCACUCCAAACACUUUAGGGUUUGGGUCCGGCACUUCUGCAGAGGAGCAGAACCCCAAUCCAUUUACCGCCGUUGUCCUAACUGAGUCCUCGAAUGUCUCCAAGUUUGCCACGACUGAGAUCAGCGCUUCUGUGGAGGACGGAAAUCCCAAUGGGUCGACUCCCGUUGAGAUCGGCAUCUUCACUGAAGGAAAUAAUCCCGAUGAAUCAACCACUGUUGGGAUCGGCAGUUUCACCGAAGGAAAUAAUCUCAACGAGUCAACCGCUGUUGGAAUCGGCAGCUUCACCAAAGGAAAUAUUCUCAACGAGUCUACUGCUGUCAGGAUUGGCAGCUUGACUGAAGGAAAUAAUCCCGACAAGUCGACCGCUAUUGAGAUCGGCAGCUUCACAGAAACAAAUAAUCCUGAUGAGUCGACUGCCAUUGGGAUCGGCAGCUUCACCAAGAGAAAUAAUCCCAAUGAGUCGACCGCUGUUGGGAUCCGGCAGUUUCACCGAGAUAAAUAAUCUUGAUGAGUUAACUGCUGCUGGGAUCAGUUUCAUUGAGAGAAAUAAUCCUGACAAGUUGACCGCUGUUGGGGAUUGGCAGCUUCACUGAGCGAAAUAAUCCCUAUGAGUCGACCGCUAUUGGGAUUGGCAGCUUUAUCGAAGGAAAUAAUCCUGACGAGUCGACCACUGUUGGGAUCGGCAAUUUCACCGAGAUAAAUAAUCUCGAUGAGUUAACUGCUGCUAGGAUCGGUAAUUUCAUCGAGAGAAAUAAUCCCAACGAGUCGACCGCUAUUGGGAUCAGCAGCUUCACCGAAAAAAAUAAUCCCAACGAGUUGCCCGCUGUUGGGAUUGAUAGUUUCAUUAAGGGAAGUGAUCCUGACGAGUCAACCACUGUUGGGAUCGGCACUUCCGCAGGUGAAAAUACUCUCGAUACAUUCACGGCAAGGGCGGUUGCUACCUCUGCUGCCGGGACGAACAGUUUCUCUGUGGAAAAUAAUCCGGACGAGUCUGGCACCGUCAGGAUCAGCACCUCCAAGGAGGAUAAUACUUCCGACAUGCUUGCUGUCACUACCGAGGUUGGUGAAACCCCCAAAAAGGAGGGAGUGGCCUCUUUCUUGGCAAAGGAUGAGGAUCCCGGUGCCAUUCUUUCUUCCGACGGAGGACCGAAUAGUACGGAGGGAGGUGCGAGCACUUCUGUUUUGCUGACACGAGGAGAGCGUUCCGGCGCCACCACGUCCGCAUUGGCUUGGGUGUCAACCCCGACCAUUUCAGAUACCGGUGUCAGCACUCGUACUUGCUGUCCCCGCGAAGACCCCAUUGUGGCCUCUCUCGGUUGCGAAUGUCACGGCGCAUGGACGUCCCCCUUGAGUUUGUUGGACGGCUCCCCGGAAGGGUUCGCUCUCGACUUUCGACCGGCAACGUGCAGGAAUGCGACCGCGAACCCCAAGGUUUGGACGACACCUCCGAACCUUCCCUCCGCCAGGCAGAACAUGACGGUGGGGACCACCAUCACGCCGGUGUGCGUGGCCUCGGCAACCACCUGGACCUCCCCUCCCGCCCUCGUUGGGGUUGCGGUCAACACCUCCCCUGCCGAGAAGGCCGCCACCAAAGACAACGUGGCCGAAACUGACUCUCUUCUGUGGCGGUGAGUGGGCCUCCGGGGGUUUCCUGGGUCAAUUUAGCUAUUGAUAUGAAAUAUCCCAUGUUUCUCAGAAAACCACGUUCCAAAGAUUAUCUAUAUCUAUCUUCCAAUCUGUUUGCCUGUCUAUCUUUCUACCUAUUUUCCUGUCUGUCUCUCUUCCUAUUUAUCCAUUAUUUUUCUAUCUUCCUGUCUUUCUAGCUUUCUAUCUUGCCUAUCUAUCUACAUUCCUAUCUAUCCCAUAUCUUUCUUUCUAUCCGUCUAGCUGUCUGUCUGUCUAUCUGACCGUCCCAUUUGUAUGUAUGUAUACACACACACCUGUGUGAAUGUGUGUAUCCCAAUCUGUCUUUCUAUCUCUUCAUCUAUCUAUCUAUCUAUCUAUCUAUCUUCCUCAGUAUAUCUGCAUGUAUCUAUCUAAUCUACAUACCUAUCUAUCGUUCUAUCUAUUCCAUCUCUCUCUCUCUCCCUAUCUUUGAGACAGUCCCUUUUGUCUUCAUAUAUAUGCACAUAUCUGUGUGACUGUGUAUCCAUAUCUUCAUCUUGCCUACCUUCCGAUCUAUCUAUCUUCCUGUCAUCUGUUAGUCUAUCCCUGUCUUCCUAUCUUUUUGUCUAUAUCUACCUACCUGUCUGUCUAUCCUAUCUCUCUUCCUGUCUGUCUGGCUAUCCAUCCAUCCAUCUAUCCACCCAUCUACCAUAAUAUCUUACCUAUCUAUAUCAUCUAUCUAUCCAUCCAUCCCACGCGAUCAAUCUUAUCUAUCCAUCCAUCCAUCCAUCUUCCUAUCUAUCUGUCUACCUACCUGACUACCUUCCUGUCCGUCUAUCCAUCCAUCUAUCUAAUCUAUCCAUCCAUCCAUCGUAUCUACGCAUCAGCCAGCCAUCCAUCUUGCCAUCUACCUAUCUACCUGACUACCUGUCUGGCCAUCCGUCCAUCCAUUUAUCUAUCCAUCAAUCCAUCCAUUCAUCCAUCUAUCUAUCUUUCUGUCUACCUAUCUACCUACCUAUCUACCUACCUCCGUGGCUGCCUGGCCCGACUAUCAAACCUAUAAUCCAUCUGUCCUACCGUCAUAAGCAUCCAGCCCAUCCGUC